AAAUUGAAGAGUUUGAUCAUGGCUCAGAUUGAACGCUGGCGGCAGGCCUAACACAUGCAAGUCGAACGGUAACAGGAAGCAGCUUGCUGCUUCGCUGACGAGUGGCGGACGGGUGAGUAAUGUCUGGGAAACUGCCUGAUGGAGGGGGAUAACUACUGGAAACGGUAGCUAAUACCGCAUAAUGUCGCAAGACCAAAGAGGGGGACCUUCGGGCCUCUUGCCAUCGGAU
rnacentral:rRNA from 1 species